CGACAGAGUGACUCAGCAGGAGGAUAGUAGGAGCACCUUUGGGGCUGGGUCGACGGGGGCGAUGGACUCCAACAAGGGUGUCAACCACAAGCCGCUGGGAGACAGUGAUUUUUUUGGAUUGGUGAAAAAGGCCUAGUAGCAUUUCCAUUAAGAGAAUUUGUCUUUGAGUUUUGGUUGGUGACUCCGAAAGGGUGUCAACCAGGCAGGCCUUUGGUAGUAGGCAGCAGUCGCAGCGCUCGUCCCUUGGCACGUUUACAUAGGGAAAACAAUGACGUGGCGUUUGCAAAAAACGCAAGAAUCUUCUGCAAGCGACGUUCCGUGGCUCCUAACCCCACGCACAAAUUAACUGUGAUCGAUCCCGUGAGGCCAGCGAGCGAUUUUUCUCUUCCCCUUCCCCUUUCUUCCCCAACGCAAAUCAUUGCAGCUCCAAAUCCUCGCCGCUCUUGCCGUGAGAGCUCGCCGCAUGUGCACCAAUCGGGCCUCCGCCGCCCUCUCGACACAGGUUGCCGCCCUUCGCCGUAGCCAUAACUCAUGUUCAUCGCAAGCAGGAUGGUUUCUUGUCGAGUCAGCCCCACAGUGAGUGGCUCUCAGUGAAUUCAAUGCACAUACCGUCCUGAGUACAAUGGUUUGGACCGUGCAUGCAUGCCAGCGCAGCAAUGGCAAGCUGCAUAAGGUCUAAGCUCGACACUUGUCACCCAUGCAUCGAGACACUUGUGGUAUCCCCUUGAGUAUAAAAAGAGGACCAUUGCCAACGGUCAAGGGGUUCGGUUCGGUUCUUACUAGUUUUAGCCCAGAAAUAGCAAGUAGCACUUAGCAGAAAAGGAGAGAGCGCCUGGGGACUCCCCAGCAACUUGUAAACCUAGUUCAUUGGUUAAUACAAGCUCAGAAAUAGGAUGUA